GCCAGACAGUGAGACAGGAUACUGGCAGUUCGGACUGCCCUGGACAUUGCCCCAUCCUUGGGCAAUGCUGGUGUGGCAUGGUGAAAUGAAAGCCCUAGGUCUUCCCGAAAGCUGCCCUUGCCUCUGCCAAGACAGGAGAUCAGAAAUAACCCGGUCUUGUUUUUAUGCCUCCAGCGAGUGGGCCCACUCCAUGCCUUUCCAAGCAA
rnacentral:lncRNA from 1 species